GAGAGCCAGGAAGAGAGAGCUUUGCCGGACUUGUGGACCAAGAUGCAAACGAUGCAAAAGCCAGGAUUCCAACGGAGUGUCCCGGUUGGUGGCAGUUGAGCUGACAGGGGGAGGGGCUGCUGGUCUCUGUGUCUCUGAUUGGAGGUUUGAAGCUGGCUGAAAGGACCUUAUGUUGGGGUCCGAGUGGAAGACCACCCCAAGGAGCACACGGAGACCAUGCAGUUCAGGCAAGGGGAAGUUUAUUCCUGGCAGCGCUGGGGGAGCCCAAGCAAGGGGUUCCGAAGAGGCAGAGGCAGUGGAGUUUAUAUUGGCUAAAGCAGUCAGAGUCGAGUCACUUGGGGGGGACACCUGGAACAUUCUGUUAAUGAUGUUGGCUGUUUAGCAUAACAGAACGGAAUGAUUGGAGAUCAGUGGCACUAAUGAUCCGAGCCUCAUCAGGAGAUGGAGAUGUACAGGAACAGUUAUGGAGCACGUACAAAGGGCCAGCAUCAAGCUGCUGCUUCCAAAGCAAAACGGUACGGAUUGCCAUUCGCUCUGUUUUGAAGCUUGCCAGGCCACAGUAACCACAUGUUGGCUUUGCUUCAGGCCAGUUGCCGCAUGGACUUCCUGCCAAAUAUGGCCCAAUUACCUCGGAAAAACCUUCUCCCGUUUCUCCUUUCGUUCUAAUUGCAUUUGUGAGCCAAAAUAUGUCCGCGAUUGUGACAGAAAAACUUAAAGGGCACGUGAGAGAUUGGGCCCUUGCCCAGGGAAAUGUAAAGCUGGACGUUUUGGAACACAAUUAAGCGUGAUAAGGAAUCGGGACGCUCAAACUCCAAAGACUGUCUAGUCUGUCCACAAAAGGCCUCACUCCCCUCCUUAAUCUUUCUUCAAUUUGCCUUUCCUCAAACGCUGGCAUUCCAGAUAAAUAAAGCAUCUUAUUCACUUCA
rnacentral:lncRNA from 1 species